GACGAACGCUGGCGGCGUGCUUAACACAUGCGAGUCGAACGGAAAGGCCCUGCUUUUGUGGGGUGCUCGAGUGGCGAACGGGUGAGUAACACGUGAGUAACCUGCCCUUGACUUUGGGAUAACUUCAGGAAACUGGGGCUAAUACCGGAUAGGAGCUCCUGCUGCAUGGUGGGGGUUGGAAAGUUUCGGCGGUUGGGGAUGGACUCGCGGCUUAUCAGCUUGUUGGUGGGGUAGUGGCUUACCAAGGCGUUGACGGGUAGCCGGCCUGAGAGGGUGACCGGCCACAUUGGGCCUGAGAUACGGCCCAGACUCCUACGGGAGGCAGCAGUGGGGAAUAUUGCACAAUGGGCGGAAGCCUGAUGCAGCAACGCCGCGUGCGGGAUGACGGCCUUCGGGUUGUAAACCGCUUUCGCCUGUGACGAAGCGUGAGUGACGGUAAUGGGUAAAGAAGCACCGGCUAACUACGUG
rnacentral:rRNA from 1 species